UGAGGAAUAUUGGUCAAUGGGCGAGAGCCUGAACCAGCCAAGUAGCGUGCAGGUUGACGGCCCUAUGGGUUGUAAACUGCUUUUAUGCGGGGAUAAAGUGCGUGACGUGUCGUGCAUUGCAGGUACCGCAUGAAUAAGGACCGGCUAAUUCCGUGCCAGCAGCCGCGGUAAUACGGAAGGUCCGGGCGUUAUCCGGAUUUAUUGGGUUUAAAGGGAGCGUAGGCCGCCAGAUAAGCGUGUUGUGAAAUGUACCGGCUCAACCGGUGAAUUGCAGCGCGAACUGUUUGGCUUGAGUACACGCAACGUGGGCGGAAUUCAUGGUGUAGCGGUGAAAUGCUUAGAUAUCAUGAGGAACUCCUAUUGCGAAGGCAGCUCACGGGAGUGUCACUGACGCUUAAGCUCGAAGGUGCGGGUAUCAAACAGG
rnacentral:rRNA from 1 species